AACUCCCAACCCAAUGUGAACGUUACCAAACUGUUGCCUCGGCGGGGUCACGCCCCGGGUGCGUCGCAGCCCCGGAACCAGGCGCCCGCCGGAGGAACCAACCAAACUCUUUCUGUAGUCCCCUCGCGGACGUAUUUCUUACAGCUCUGAGCAAAAAUUCAAAAUGAAUCAAAACUUUCAACAACGGAUCUCUUGGUUCUGGCAUCGAUGAAGAACGCAGCGAAAUGCGAUAAGUAAUGUGAAUUGCAGAAUUCAGUGAAUCAUCGAAUCUUUGAACGCACAUUGCGCCCGCCAGUAUUCUGGCGGGCAUGCCUGUCCGAGCGUCAUUUCAACCCUCGAACCCCUCCGGGGGAUCGGCGUUGGGGAUCGGGACCCCUCACACGGGUGCCGGCCCCGAAAUACAGUGGCGGUCUCGCCGCAGCCUCUCCUGCGCAGUAGUUUGCACAACUCGCACCGGGAGCGCGGCGCGUCCACGUCCGUAAAACACCCAACUUUCUGAAAUGUUGACCUCGGAUCAGGUAGGAAUACCCGCUGAACUUAAGCAUAUCAAUAAGCGGAGGAAAAGAAAUCCUCCU
rnacentral:rRNA from 1 species